AUCUGGUUCAGCAGUGGUCACAAGCAAGCUGCUGUUCAACUCCUCAUCUCCAGUCCCCAGUGAAGCUCUGGUCCUCAGUGCUAUCAACACUCUCCGUAAUUCCAGAGAGUCACAGCUGAAUGAAUCUGUGAAUAUUAAAGUGUCUAAUUUUGAUUAUUAAUUUUGUUCAAAACAGAAAUCACGGCAACCUCCUAUGCUGUCAUCUUUAAUUUUAUUUUGAGUAAUAUCAGCAUGUCAAAAGAUCCUAAACUAAGAAAUGGUACUUACCUUCAAGCUCAGGGUGUCGUCAAUAAUGCGCUGAAUAGUCUUCUGAAUGAACCUGGCAGAACAACUUUAAAUCCCAAGUCGACCAACUUCAUAAGCACAUCAAACCAGAUUGAUGGCAGGAUGGAAUACACCUUCCAGGAUAGAGAUGCCAUAAAACCAGUCAGCUUCCUAAAUGAGCUUCGUUCACCAACCAGGUUGGUCAAAACUGACAAUGGAUUGCAAAUGUUGUAACUGCAAGCUUCCUUGAUUAAUCAUUACUUUCUUUUACAGUCUUAACAAACAGCCAGUACUCUGACAACACUCCAAAGAUAGUGUAAGAGCAGUGAUUUCAGUCUGAUAUUUACUUUUUUUCAUUUUCAUUUCCUACCUUAAUGUAUAUUAUUUACUGUCUUUGUAGGCUUGGCAGAGCACUUAUAUUCAUUCGCCUCGUGUUUGUCACACGGGCCCCCCUGCCAAAUCCAGAUAAUGUUCUUGCGGUGGCUAACACUCUGCUGAAAACACGUCUCACAGCUAAACAAGACACCACUACACAAGACCUGAGUGAUCCUGUGAGCUUUGUCAAUGUCACAUACACAAAAAUAAACGAGACAGCCUAUGCUCUCAACUUUGGAUUUGAAAUCAGCAAUAUAACCAUGUCUGAGAAACUUGAACUCAGGAAUGGUACCCACCUGUUAAUACAAGACUCCUUAAACACAUUGCUGGCCAAGAUCCUCCUCAGUAACUCCUCAGCUCCUGUCAUUAAGUUCCAAGCAGCUGAUUUCACGGGUAAUUCCGCUGUGAUUCAGGCCAAAGUAGAGUAUGUUAUCUCACCAAGUGACAUCACGCAACCCAGCAUAUUUGUUCAGGAACUUCUCCAACUCGCCGAAGAGACCACUCUGACAACAACUUCACCACCAAUCUUGAGUAGGAAGGCAAUUAUUACGAUUCGUCUCGAGUUUAUCACACUGGGCCCAAGACCAAGUGAGAAUAGUGUUCUAGAGGUGGUUAAAUCUAUGCUGGCCGCAAAUCUCACAACUAAACUAACUGCCAGAACAGUAAGCGUGAGUGAUCCUGUGAUCUUGACAAAUGUCAACUAUUUAGGAAUUAAUGACACUGCCUACGCGCUCAUCUUUACAUUUGAAAUCAGCAAAGUAUUAUUGACAGAGUUAAAAAGGAAUGAAACCUAUCAAGAAAUCCAAAAGAAGAUAAAUGACUUGGUGAUCCAGAUCCUAAAGGACCCCUCAGUUAAUCUGCUCAUUCCAGCCCAUUUCAAGGAAAAUUCCACUGUGAUUGAGGCCAAUGUUACGUAUGUUUUCUCACAAUAUGCCAGCAACACGGGUGCCGGUUUCUUGGUCAAUACCCUUUUCACAGUUUUUACCACACCAGUUCCAACCACCAUGAGCACUACAAUCUCAAACAACAGUACAAACGCAGCAUGGGUUGUGGCUAUCAUUGUCCCCUGUGCUAUUAUCAUCGGGCUCGUACCUUGCUGGAUUCUCCUUUGUUGUUUGCUGUGUGGUUGCUGUGCAGCAAUCAGGAGACGAUGGCACAGAAGACGGUCAUACAAUGUACAGUACACAACUCGAAACAGCCUCUUCUAGAGAAUUCAGGGAUGACAAAAAAAGGACUGAACACCAAUGAAAACAUAAAAAUCAUGGAUUUUGGAUAUUCAGUGUGCAAUUCAAUGCUGCCUCUUAAGUAUAAAAGUACUAUGUUAAUGCUUAUUUUAUAAAUUAUUGCUAGACAAACAGGUUCUCUAUAAAAUGUUCAUAAAUGUGAUAUUUGAAUUCUUCCUAUAGCGUAUAAUAAAACUGUAUUGCUGUUAUUUAUUUGUAUUUAUUGUAAUAUUCUGUUUAUGUUUACAAUUAAUAAGCUUUUGCAAAGCAUUAGUCUGCUUGACACACAGUUUCAUUUAAAGGGACAAAGGUAGAACUUUGGAAUUACAGCUAUUAUUUAUUCACACUCUGUGCACUUUAUAAUGUUAAGCAAAGGUAAAGCAAGCUCAUGAUGUAAAGGAAAUGUAAAGCAAAUUUAGUCUUUGGCAUGAACAUGUUAAACUGCAAAAAAAAUAAAAAAUACUAGAUUAAUAAAGAAUACAGAACAAUACAGAAGUUUGUGUUUCUCUUUGUAAUGUAAAUAUAAAGGUUACUCAUUAUUGGCCUUAGUCUUGAACAUCAAAGCUGUUUAUAUGGUAAACAAUGUUACCCAGAAU
rnacentral:lncRNA from 1 species